rnacentral:rRNA from 1 species
GACGAACGCUGGCGGCGUGCUUAACACAUGCAAGUCGAACGUGAUUUUUGUGGAAAGCCCUUCGGGGACGGAAAUGAAAUGAAAGUGGCGAACGGGUGAGUAACACGUGAGCAACCUACCUUACACAGGGGGAUAGCCGUUGGAAACGACGAUUAAUACCGCAUGAGACCACAAAGCCACAUGGCUUAGGGGUAAAAGAUUUAUCGGUGUAAGAUGGGCUCGCGUCUGAUUAGCUAGUUGGAAGGGUAAAGGCCUACCAAGGCAACGAUCAGUAGCCGGUCUGAGAGGAUGAACGGCCACAUUGGAACUGAGACACGGUCCAAACUCCUACGGGAGGCAGCAGUGGGGAAUAUUGCACAAUGGGGGGAACCCUGAUGCAGCGACGCCGCGUGAGCGAAGAAGGUUUUCGAAUCGUAAAGCUCUGUCCUAUGAGAAGAUAAUGACGGUAUCAUAGGAGGAAGCCCCGGCUAAAUACGUGCCAGCAGCCGCGGUAAUACGUAUGGGGCGAGCGUUGUCCGGAAUUAUUGGGCGUAAAGGGUACGUAGGCGGCCUUUUAAGUCAGGUGUGAAAGCGUGAGGCUUAACCUCAUUAAGCACUUGAAACUGGAAGGCUUGAGUGAAGGAGAGGAAAGUGGAAUUCCUAGUGUAGCGGUGAAAUGCGUAGAUAUUAGGAGGAAUACCGGUGGCGAAGGCGACUUUCUGGACUUUUACUGACGCUCAGGUACGAAAGCGUGGGGAGCAAACAGG